UGCAUUUUUUGGUAAGACGAUGUUAACAAAAGUUGUUAGUCUUGAUCAGGGCUACAACUUUGCUUAAUAUCCUUUUAACAAAUUAUGCAUUUUUAAGAAGAUAGCGCUGCGCAUGCGCAGAACGUAACUCCUUACGCUUGCAUUUUUUGGUAAGACGAUGUUAACAAAAGUUUUUCGUCUUGAUGAGGGCUACAACUUUGCUUAAUAUCCUUUUAACAAAUUAUGCA
rnacentral:miRNA from 1 species